UGUGUGUGUGUGUGUGUGUGUGUUGGGCUUUUCUGGUCUGAGAAUGUGAAGCAUGGCACGAGUGGAAAGAGGACUAAACUGUUAAAUGCGAGCUUUUGUGUGAAGCCAGUUCCACAAACCAACUUCAUGAGGCCUUCAAGUUCUCCUUCAAGUUUCGAUGCUGUAAAAAUGCACAGUUCCCAGAAGAUGUUUUCAGACUGAAGACCUAAACCACUGAAAGAUUUAUAUUGUUUUUGUUAUUUUUUUAAAUAAUUCAUU